CCUACGGGAGGCAGCAGUAAGGAAUAUUGGUCAAUGGACGAAAGUCUGAACCAGCCAUGCCGCGUGAAGGAUGAAGGCCCUCUGGGUUGUAAACUUCUUUUACAGGGGACGAAAAAAGGGAAUUCUUUCUCACUUGACGGUACCCUGGGAAUAAGCACCGGCUAACUCCGUGCCAGCAGCCGCGGUAAUACGGAGGGUGCAAGCGUUAUCCGGAUUCACUGGGUUUAAAGGGUGCGUAGGUGGGUCUGUAAGUCAGCGGUGAAAUCUCCGGGCUUAACCCGGAAACUGCCAUUGAUACUAUAGAUCUUGAAUUGUCUGGAGGUAAGCGGAAUAUGUCAUGUAGCGGUGAAAUGCUUAGAUAUGACAUAGAACACCAAUUGCGAAGGCAGCUUACUACGGAUUGAUUGACACUGAGGCACGAAAGCGUGGGGAUCAAACAGGAUUAGAUACCCUGGUAGUCCACGCCCUAAACGAUGGAUACUCGACAUUUGUGAUAUACUAUAAUGUCUGAGCGAAAGCAUAAGUAUCCACCUGGAGUACGACGCAAGGUUGAAACUCAAAUGAAUUGACGG
rnacentral:rRNA from 1 species